GAAGGUGUAUCUAGAAAGACAAAUUAGAGCUUGAAAAAUAAAGCAUUUCAUUUACAUUGAAAAGUAUAUUGUGUAAUUCAAUUUAAUUUGAUAAUAAAAAUUUAUUAAUUUUUUUUGUUUAAAAAGUUAUUUAAUAAAAUUAAUUUUAAAUUAAGUUUUUUUUGUAUAGUAUAUAGAUCAAAUAAUUUAUAUAAUAGUUAAUUAGUAUUGUAAAAGAAUAUUGAAAUAUAUGAAAAAAUUUUAAAUUAAAAGUAAAUUUUAUAUAUUGUACCUUGUGUAUCAGGGUUUAUUAAUUAAAAAUUAAAAAUUUAAUUUUUCUCGAAUUUAAGAGGGUUAAUUUAUUAUUUAAUUUUUUGUUUCAUAAAAAUUUAAAAUAAUAAAUUAGAAAUGAAAUGUUAUUCGUUCUUUAAUAUAUCUAGUUUUUUAAGAAAUAAAUUAAAUUUAGAUUAUUAAUAAAUAAUUAUUUAUUUAAAUAAUGAAUUAUUAUUAAUAAUUAAUAUUUUAAGGGAUAAGCUUUAAGGUAAGUUUUAUAAUGAUUUUUUAAUUUAAAAAUUAUAGGUUUAGAAAUAGUCAUUAAUUAUAAAAAUGUUAUAAUUUAUUUUAAAUUAAAAAUAAUUUUUAUUGAUUUAAAUUUUUAUUAAAAUAAUUUUUAAAAUUAUAUAAGAAUUAAAAUAAUGAUAAAAUUAGUAUAUUUAAUUGUUUAAAAUAAAUAAAUUAAAAGGUUAAAUUAAGGAAUUUGGCAAAUAAAUACUCGCCUGUUUAACAAAAACAUGUCUUUUUGAAUAUAAUUUAAAGUCUAAUCUGCCCACUGAAAAAUUUUAAAGGGCCGCGGUAUU
rnacentral:rRNA from 1 species